ACGUUGUUAUUAUUGAGCGGUGCUGCAGGUAUAUGUAAAUAAACAGGGACACGUUGUUAUUAUUGAGCGGUGCUGCAGGUAUAUGUAAAUAAACAGGGACACGUUGUUAUUAUUGAGCGAUGGUGCAGGUAUAUGUAAAUAAACAGGGACACGUUAUUAUUGAGCGGUGCUGCAGGUAUAUGUAAAUAAACAGGGACACGUUGUUAUUAUUGAGCGAUGGUGCAGGUAUAUGUAAAUAAA